rnacentral:lncRNA from 1 species
UUACUCACAGGAUGGGAAGUUCAGCCUCUCGCUCCAGCUCUUCCGGGAAAUGCUGCUCGAAGGGACUGCUCCAAACAGUGUCACCUUUGUCAGUAUCUUGAGCGGCUGCGAAGCACCAUCUUUACUCGAGCAAGGGAGGCAGAUUCACGCUCUAGUGGUGGAGAGCAGUCUCGAGUCACACGUCGUUGUAGCGAAUUCUCUGCUGGGGAUGUAUAGCAGAUGCCGCAGCUGGGAGGAUUCGAGAAGUUUGUUCGACAGAAUGAGCGUCCGAGACUCGGUUUCAUGGUCGACGAUCAUCAUGGCCUACGAGGAGUUUACCGGAGUUACACGAACUACGGGAAUAUUCCGAGAAUAUUCCAUGGCCUAGCUCUCCUGUUCGCUUCAUCGGUGAUGGCGGGUGAGUAAGAUAUUGAUCUUCAUGAGGAGUAUGGUGUUAGUGAUAAUGGCCAUGAUGAUGUGGAAGAGACUCUUAAUGAUGUCAUUGUGUGUUAGAUUUCUGAGGUUCAGAGCGACGUAACAAGUUCGUGAUUACCAUUGGUAUGUCAAGUAUGCCAAGGAUUAUAGUAUCGUGGAAUGGAAAUCAUCACCGGAUGUUUGUAAUAGUCAAUAGGUUGAUUCUUGGUUAGAAUUGUGAGAAAGUUGUUAGUCUCACAAUCCUUGUGAGGAUAAGGUGAAGAUAGAUUUCUUUGUGAUGAAGUUUACGGGCUAUGCUUAUUCGUGGUGAAAGAACUACAUUAAAGUUAAUUCGAAGCCGACUUCUUAGACUGAUUUGACAAAGGUUUUCUACACUUCGUUUGUCAAAAAGUUUGAAGAAGUUAAUCUCGUGAACUAGCUAUUAAAAAUUUAACAAAGGACUUUGUCUUUGAAUGCAUAUGCCCGCAAGUUCUAUGAUCUUUGCCUUAAUCUCAUGGGCACCUAUAAUGAGCUGUUAAAAGUGCAAUGUUUCAUCAAAAAAUUGAGCUUAGUGGAUAUGUAGCAAAAGGUCAAAAAGGAUUUUCCUACAACAUUGACUGAUGCAAUCACUAGGGCUCAGAUCUUUUCACCCAAACUGUCAGUCAACUUAGUCAACUCUAGUCAACAGGAUGGUCUAUGGGGAGGUCAACGUGAUAACCAAACCACCAAUACUUCAUCUUUAGAGAAGAAAUUCCUAUUAUUCUAUCAUAGCUUGAAGAGUGGAGAUGGUAAUGAGGCCAAAAGACAUUGUUUGGACUAAUGAGAGAAGGAUAAAGCAGAGGGCAAUUAUUUUCAUUGCCAUAGGGCUGAACAUUAGAGCAAAAAUUGUUCUGAAAGGGUCAAUGAAUGAAUGAAUGGCAACAUUAUCUAUAUGGAUCAGACUUCCAUGUGGAUUUAGAUCAUCAAUCUCUCUAAUAUUUCAGUCGACAAAAGGAUCUUCGAGACCGCCUUGCUCAUUGGCAAGAGUUCCUAUAGGAAAUGUUUGUUAAAAUCCAGUACAAGUAUAGAGGUGACAAUAAGGUGGCUGAUGUAUUAUCCAGGAUGGUAAAUUCUAUCUUGUUCAUAAAGUUAUCCAGCGAUCUCUUAGAUGAGCUUAAGGAGUUUGCUGACUUCGACUCCUUUAUCACUAAUAUUUGCGCGAAGGUUUUGUUGAGGGACGCCUCUACAAAUUUGAAGGGUAACAAGUUUGCAUCAUUCGAAAUACGAGAUGGAAUUCUAGUGAAGAAGGGACAUGUAGUGGUUUCUCGUGUUAACAAACUCAUCAAACAAAUUUUGGUUGAGUGUUAUGAUGUGCCAAGUGUUGGGCAUUCGGGGGUAUUGAGAAAGUAUAUUUUGGUGAAGAGGCAUUUCUUUUGGCCUGGGAAAGUCAGAUGUUGAGAAAUACAUACAUGGUUGUUUGACUUGCCAAGCAAUCAAAAAUUAAUCAUCAAAAGCUCGCUGGCCUCUAUCAUCCUUUACGUGUACCCGAGAAUAAAUGGGAUAGCAUCUCAAUGGACUUUAUCAUUGUUUUGCCCAAAACCUUUCAAAGAAAUGAUGCUAUUUGGGUUGUUGUGGAUCGUUUGACCAAGAUGGCUCACUUCUUCCCUGUGAAAAUGACGAUAAAAGCUUCUGAACUUGCUCAGUUGUUUGUAGACCGGUUAUUUAGUCUCUAUGGUUUGCCAGGUGACAUUGUGAAUGAUCAGGAUUCCAAGUUCACGUCCAAAUUUUGGCAAACAGUCUUUGAAAAGCUAGAGACUAAGUUGAGCAUGAGUAGUGGUGAGCAUCCACAAUCUAAUGGACAGACAGAACGCAUGAAUCAGCUAUUAGAAGAUAUGCUAAGGUUUUUUGUGGGAAACUUGACUCGACAGAGAGUAUGGGAGAAGUACUUACCUUUACUUCACUUUGCUCAUAAUAGCGCUCAUCAAUCAGCUAUUGGCAUGUCUCCCUUUAUAGCAAUAUAUGGCUAUGAGCCUAAGCCUCUUGUGAGUUUGAAUUUGGCUUUGGUUUGGGUACCUCAUGCUUGUGAUUUUCUAGAGGAUAUGCAAAACAAACUUGAGUUGGCAAAGUUGAACAUAAGGCAAGCUCAAUAACAAGACAAAAGAUUAGCUGAUGAGCAUCAUCGUCAUCAAGAGUACAAAGUUGGUAACAAGGUUUUCCUUAAGCUGUCAGAUGCACAACAGUUUCUGAAAGGAGGUGGCAGUGCUAAGUUGCCUCCAUAGUAUUGUGGAUCUUAGACAAUUUUACAGCGUGUAGGGGAUCUUGCAUACACUUUGGACUUGCUAGUUAAUUCAAAAAUUCAUCCAACAUUCCAUGUGAGUAAGCUUAAAGCGUGUUUGCACUCUGGUGAUAUUGUGGAUCAAUCCAUCAUCCAAGUCCCAAAGAUUGAUGCAAAGAAGGUUGGUCCAACCAAUAUUCUUGCUCAAAGAUUGGUGAAAACACGCCAGAAGACAACUAAAGAGUUGUUAGUUCAAUGGAAUGAUUAUUCCAUGGACGACGCUACAUGGGAAAUUGAGGAUGACAUGAAGAGAGUGUUUCCAAGUUUUGGUUAUAAUUUAGAUGACAUUUUUGAGGAAGGGGAAAAUUGAGUUUUAUAUCCGUAUUGCUAUAUAAUUUGAGCUGUUUGUUCUAUUUUCAUUCUUUUGUUUCUAUGAUUAUAUUGUCAUGUGAAAAAGCUAUAUUGCUUUCUUUCUUUCAUGGCCAUUUGCUGUGACAUUGGUGUUGCCAUUUGCACACCUUUUCUCCAUGGCCAUAUUGCCUUUUGACUCCCUUCAUGUGAGGCUCGUUUAACUUCUUAAGGCUGCCUUAUGUUGCUAGGUCAUCAGAACGACACAAACCACAAGAAUAUUCUGAGAAUAUUCCAUGACCUCUGGGAUUUAAAGCAGCUUGGGCUAGGGUUCACUCUCCUGUUCGUUUCAAUGACAGAUGAGGUAAAUAGGACCAACACGCUUCCAAAUCUUCGAUAAUCUUUCUCUAUCAUUUCAUAGGCUCCAGUUCAAAAGCAAGUGGUCUCUCUUUCCAAUUCCCUGAGCUGCUUAGAGCUGAGAAAAUGCAUCAAAGAAAAAGUCCCUCACGUCCUGUUAGACGUCCGUGACGAGCACCAGUACGCCAUCAGCGCGCUGCCACAGUCGACAAACAUUCCUCUCUCGCAACUCCAGAAGAACAGCCAAGAGCUCCGCGAUAUCAUACUCGACGACGAGAAGAUGCCAGUCUUUGUCAUCUGCUGGAGGGGGAAUAGCUCUCAGGAAGCUGUGGAGCUGCUCAGAAACUCUGGAGUUAACGCCUUGGAUGUCACAGGAGGACUUGAGGCGUGGUCCAGAGAGGUAGACUCCAAGUUUCCUUUGUACUAAAUCGUUUUUUCUCUACAGGAAAGCUCAAGGUCUUGGUUUUCUUAGAAACAAAGCACUUUUUCUUUCGAGAAUCAUCAAAAGUUUCGCCGUUAGGUAAAGAGUUUUGCUUGAGAAAGACUACAAUGGAAGAAAAGUUCAAGCCAACCAAUGGCUAGAACCAACGUAUUUUCCCACAGGGAGUUUGAUCUAUCAAAAACACCAUGGCGGUUGUAUAUAAAUCUAAGCUGCAUCGUCGUCUUGGGCGCUAGAAGCAAGCGCCUAGCAAACAACAGCAACACAAGGCCCCCAAACUGGAAGAAAAAAAAGGAUCAACAAAUGCAAAAAAAAAGGGAAGAGCUUCGAGCGAAGCGAGGCUCCAGAGAUUUUGGAACUAUAAAUUUACCAUCCCUGGAUGAACGACGGGCCUUUGUUGUUCUGAUGAUUCUCCUCCUGCUUAUAUCCCGGCUGUUGGACUGGAUAGCCCGCUGGAGGAUAGCCUUGCGGAGGACAUCCCUGGGGAGGAUAGCCUUGCGGAGGAUACGCUGAAACACCCCAGAUCUCUCAGAUAUCCAGGCAAAGAUCUCGCGAUUUCUCGCGGCGCUUACCUUGACCAUAGCCUUGCGGCGGCGGCGCUUGCACUGGCGGCUUCUGAUCGUAGUAGCUCAUCCUCUCCUGACUCGUUCGUUUUGCUUUCGAUCGUGGUGCGUGUACCCGUUAUAAAGGAGGCCAUAAACGCGGAAUGAUAUUUCCUAGGCUUGACGGACGGUCACUGCUUCGAUAGCAAUGGCUGAUGGAGCGUGGUCAAGACGGCUUCGGCAGUGCAAGGGUUUAUGGGGUUUAGGGCUGACGAUGCCCCCUGUUUUUAAGGGUUCUUGAGGAUGAGGAAGCUCUGGCGAUGGCGACGCGCCAGCUUGCGCCAGGUUCGUGCUCGAUUUGUCGCGGAUUUUGAUUGAUUCUCGUGUUUUCAGGGAGAAUGCCGUGGCGCGGGUUGUUUGUUUCGAGCAUAUCGACGCAAUGCGGGUCUUCCAGUGAUUUGUUCGAUGUCUCGGCAUUGCUGCGGCUAGGAGGAGCAAAGGCGGCGCUGGAUUAUCUCGAUUCCAGGCAAGGUCGAGAUGGUUUCUUGGAUUCUUCCACGCUCGCGAGGUUGCUGCUGGAUUGUGGAAGAUCCAGCGCUCUCGCGGAGGGCCGGCGCGUCCACGAGUACGUUGUGAGAUCCAGGUUUGUCCGCGACGCGUUCCUUGGCAAUCACCUCGUCCAUAUGUAUCUCAAGUGCCAGAGCUUCGACGAGGCCGAGAGGGUUUUCCAGAGCGCUGCUUGUGAGAGCUUUGAUGUUGCAACGUGGACAGCAGUGAUCGUCGCUAGAGCGGGGCUCGGGAAAUGGAAGUUGGUGUUUGGUCAGCUGGAUGAGAUGGAUCGGAGAGGGAUUCCACCGGACAGGGUCAUGAUCAAGACGUUGUUCACUGCUUGUACCAAGCUCGGUGCUCUGGAAGAAGGGAAACUUAUCCAGGAUCGUCUAGCAGGAACCCAGCUCGAGCUCGAUAUUGGUGUGCUCAACCUCACGAUCAACAUGUACGUGAAGUGUGGUUGCCUAGAUGGAGCAGUGCAAACUUUCGCGAGGAUGAAGCGACGGGAUGUGGUCUCCUGGACUGUGAUGAUCGGAGCUUACUCACAGGAUGGAAAGUUCAGCCUCUCGAUCCAGCUCUUCCGGGAAAUGCUGCUCGAAGGGACUGCUCCAAACAGUGUCACCUUUGUCAGUAUCUUGAGCGGCUGCGAAGCACCAUCUUUACUCGAGCAAGGGAGGCAGAUUCACGCUCUAGUGGUGGAGAGCAGUCUCGAGUCACACGUCGUUGUAGCGAAUUCUCUGCU